rnacentral:rRNA from 2 species
GCUUCUCUGAUGUUAGCGGCGGACGGGUGAGUAACACGUGGGUAACCUACCUAUAAGACUGGGAUAACUCCGGGAAACCGGGGCUAAUACCGGAUAAUAUUUUGAACCGCAUGGUUCAAUAGUGAAAGACGGUUUCGGCUGUCACUUAUAGAUGGACCCGCGCCGUAUUAGCUAGUUGGUAAGGUAACGGCUUACCAAGGCGACGAUACGUAGCCGACCUGAGAGGGUGAUCGGCCACACUGGAACUGAGACACGGUCCAGACUCCUACGGGAGGCAGCAGUAGGGAAUCUUCCGCAAUGGGCGAAAGCCUGACGGAGCAACGCCGCGUGAGUGAUGAAGGUCUUCGGAUCGUAAAACUCUGUUGUUAGGGAAGAACAAAUUUGUUAGUAACUGAACAAGUCUUGACGGUACCUAACCAGAAAGCCACGGCUAACUACGUGCCAGCAGCCGCGGUAAUACGUAGGUGGCAAGCGUUAUCCGGAAUUAUUGGGCGUAAAGCGCGCGUAGGCGGUUUCUUAAGUCUGAUGUGAAAGCCCACGGCUCAACCGUGGAGGGUCAUUGGAAACUGGGAAACUUGAGUGCAGAAGAGGAGAGUGGAAUUCCAUGUGUAGCGGUGAAAUGCGCAGAGAUAUGGAGGAACACCAGUGGCGAAGGCGGCUCUCUGGUCUGUAACUGACGCUGAUGUGCGAAAGCGUGGGGAUCAAACAGGAUUAGAUACCCUGGUAGUCCACGCCGUAAACGAUGAGUGCUAAGUGUUAGGGGGUUUCCGCCCCUUAGUGCUGCAGCUAACGCAUUAAGCACUCCGCCUGGGGAGUACGACCGCAAGGUUGAAACUCAAAGGAAUUGACGGGGACCCGCACAAGCGGUGGAGCAUGUGGUUUAAUUCGAAGCAACGCGAAGAACCUUACCAAAUCUUGACAUCCUUUGACCGCUCUAGAGAUAGAGUCUUCCCCUUCGGGGGACAAAGUGACAGGUGGUGCAUGGUUGUCGUCAGCUCGUGUCGUGAGAUGUUGGGUUAAGUCCCGCAACGAGCGCAACCCUUAAGCUUAGUUGCCAUCAUUAAGUUGGGCACUCUAGGUUGACUGCCGGUGACAAACCGGAGGAAGGUGGGGAUGACGUCAAAUCAUCAUGCCCCUUAUGAUUUGGGCUACACACGUGCUACAAUGGAUAAUACAAAGGGCAGCGAAUCCGCGAGGCCAAGCAAAUCCCAUAAAAUUAUUCUCAGUUCGGAUUGUAGUCUGCAACUCGACUACAUGAAGCUGGAAUCGCUAGUAAUCGUAGAUCAGCAUGCUACGGUGAAUACGUUCCCGGGUCUUGUACACACCGCCCGUCACACCACGAGAGUUUGUAACACCCGAAGCCGGUGGAGUAACCUUUUAGGAGCUAGCCGUCGAA